rnacentral:lncRNA from 1 species
GGGUGAAGGGGGUGGCUCAAUAUUCACGGAUUUCACAAAAAGAAUGUUGUUAGGGCUUUCCUAGAUCUAAAAUUCGUAAAUUUUGAGGGAGUUUUGAAGGAUUUUGUUUGAAGAUAUGGAAGAGGAGGUUGAGAGGAACAAGGGGUGAAGUUUUAUGGUGGUUUGAAGAUGCCAGCGGGCAGCGCCACCGUGGGAAGAGGCGGCGGCGGUUGGGGAGAAGAAGAGAGGAGAAGG